ACAAGUCCUAUGCACACAAAAGUACUUAGACAUUAAAUCAGCUCAAAGAAACACAUUUGACUGCAUAAUAUUACAUGACAUAAAUAAUGUUUAAAUACAGCUUUAAACGUAUUUUAUAUUGAUCUCAUAACAACAUACUCAGCUGAUAAAAUGAAUUACUAUUUAUAUGUCAUAUUCAUUGUUAAUGUGUCAAGGGGUCUACAUUGCUAUAAUCACAGUCUUAUCAGAAAAAAACCCAACAGACAACUUGCCAUGCUGCUGACAACAAAUAUGAUUUUGGCUGUCAUUGCAUUAUAUUUAGUUCAUUACAAUCUCAAAAGUGGAGAUCUGUAUGUGAUACCAAACUGUUAGAAUAGUUGAUUUAAAAUUUAAUUAAUUUACUAGAAAUAAAAUAAAUGAAUUUUAAAAUUUUUCAAAUAUUCAAUUUGUCCCAAAAACAUUAAAAGUCAAUACUUGUAUUGGGAUAUAACUGAAGCUUAAAUUGAAAUAUGUCUUUGGCCACUAAAGUCAAUCUUCAGAUGAAGUUAUGCAUCAUCACUUAUCUAUCAUCAUAAGUUUCCAUUACUAAAUGAUUACGAUUUGAUAUAUUGAAGUUAAAUGAGAACUAUAAAAACAUGAGGUACUUUUGGUCAGAAAUUCACCUUUUUUUCUGAAAUAACCAAAGACUAGAUAUUUUUAAUUAAGUGUUACAUUGUUCAUUCAUAACAUACAUGUAUAUAUAUCUGCCCCAUCUUGAUACAGCUGCCUAUUAGGUACAGUCUUCAUCAACUAAAUUGAAUAUCUGUUACUAUGUAAUCUAUAGAUACAUGGGUCAAACAUUUCCAUCAGACUGAAAUACAACAAAUUUAUUUUAAAUCACACUUGUAACAAUACCAGACUCUGAAACAAUAAUUCACACUUACAUGAUUAGCAGCAAUAACACAUCAAUGGAAUGAUCUUAACAC